GGAACUGUGCCUGAAGUAAAGGGCCACUUUGAUAGAGUGUAUUAUGAGGGUUCAAAUCCCUCCAGCUCCU
rnacentral:tRNA from 1 species